UCUUAGAGAGAUGCUAAAACAAAUUUGAAUAUAACCUUUUGAAUUUAAAUAAAUCUAAAGCAAGAUUGAAUUGGAUGAACAAAACUAAAACUUCAUCUAAAGAACAUUUGAAACUUACACGAUGAGAAGAUACAAGGAUUUUGAACAUAGGAUGGCUUCAAGGAUCUUGCUUCAUUUUCUCUGGCUGAAGCCUUUUGGGAUACAAGCUUGAAAUAGGAUUUUUGAUCCUAAACUAUUUUGGAUCCUAAUCUAAAAGGAUUUUUACAAUGGACUAUAUUGGAAAAGAUUUUUGAUACAAAGGGUUUUUGAAGGAUGGAAGAGGUUACAAGACAGAAGAAGAUUUUGGUGGAACACUCCCUCACUGGCUUGUAUUAUUGUUUGACUUCUUCCCAAGACUUAUUUGGGAGGCAUGUUCGAGACUUGUUCUUGAAUGUUGGCUCUUGUGGUCUUCUUAUAGAAGCUUUGAUAGACUUCAACUAGCUUAAAGUCCGGAAACUUGGAGUUGAAGUAACUUGAGGAUGAAGUUGAAGUAACUUGAGGCUUCAUCUUUGUUGAAAGGAAUCUGACAAAGUAUUUGUUGCUUUUGAGGGCUUCGUCUUUGAGAUUCUUCCUGUUGGAGAACUUGAGGGUGAAGUUAUUUGGGGAUGAAGUUUGCUAGAAGAUGUCUAACUUGAAAGCAAAGUUUGUUGAAAAGUAUUUACUACUUUUGAGGUUUCAUCCUUGAUGUUGGAGAAAUCAGGGGCGGAGCCCAUGUGCGAAGGUGGUUUUAUAAUAAAACCAGGGGCUGA
rnacentral:lncRNA from 1 species